UACGGGGGGAGCAAGCGUUGUUCGGAUUUACUGGGCGUAAAGGGCGCGUAGGCGGCCUCCGCAAGUCAGUUGUGAAAUCUCCGAGCUUAACUCGGAAAGGUCAACUGAUACUGCGGGGCUGAGAGUGCGGAAGGGGCAACUGGAAUUCUUGGUGUAGCGGUGAAAUGCGUAGAUAUCAAGAGGAACACCUGCGGCGAAGGCGGGUUGCUGGGCCGACACUGACGCUGAGGCGCGAAAGCGUGGGGAGCGAACGGG
rnacentral:rRNA from 1 species